rnacentral:rRNA from 1 species
AGUGAACGCUGGCGGUAGGCCUAACACAUGCAAGUCGAACGGCAGCACAGUAAGAGCUUGCUCUUACGGGUGGCGAGUGGCGGACGGGUGAGGAAUACAUCGGAAUCUACUUUUUCGUGGGGGAGAACGUAGGGAAACUUACGCUAAUACCGCAUACGACCUACGGGUGAAAGCAGGGGAUCUUCGGACCUUGCGCGAUUGAAUGAGCCGAUGUCGGAUUAGCUAGUUGGCGGGGGAAAGGCCCACCAAGGCGACGAUCCGUAGCUGGUCUGAGAGGAUGAUCAGCCACACUGGAACUGAGACACGGUCCAGACUCCUACGGGAGGCAGCAGUGGGGAAUAUUGGACAAUGGGCGCAAGCCUGAUCCAGCCAUACCGCGUGGGUGAAGAAGGCCUUCGGGUUGUAAAGCCCUUUUGUUGGGAAAGAAAAGCAGCAGGUUAAUACCCCGCUGUUCUGACGGUACCCAAAGAAUAAGCACCGGCUAACUUCGUG